CAGCUGGCCUUCAGGGACGUGGCCAUCGAAUUCUCAGAGGAGGAGUGGGGAUGCCUGACCCACACUCAGUGGCAACUGUACAGGGAUGUGAUGUUGGAGAACUACAGACACCUGCUCUUCUUGGGUCUCACUGUGUCAAAGCCUGAUUUGGUCUCCUUUUUGGAGCAAAAGAAGGACCCUUGGGAUGUAAAGAGAAAGAAGACAGUGGUCUUUGAUCCAGCUGUAUCUUCACAGGACACCCUGAGCUUCCUGCCAGAGCCAUGCAAAGAA